rnacentral:rRNA from 1 species
UACGUAGGGGGCAAGCGUUGUCCGGAAUCAUUGGGCGUAAAGCGCGCGUAGGCGGCCCGGUAAGUCCGUUGUAAAAGUCGAAGGCUCAACCUUCGAAAGCCGAUGGAUACUGCCGGGCUAGAGUCCGGAAGAGGCGAGUGGAAUUCCUGGUGUAGCGGUGGAAUGCGCAGAUAUCAGGAGGAACACCCAUAGCGAAGGCAGCUCGCUGGGACGGUACUGACGCUGAGGCGCGAAAGCUAGGGGAGCGAACUGG